rnacentral:rRNA from 1 species
AUUGAACGCUGGCGGCAGGCUUAACACAUGAAAGUCGAACGAGUGGCGGACGGGUGAGUAAUGCUUGGGAAUCUAGCUUAUGGAGGGGGAUAAAUACGGGGAACUGUAGCUAAUACCGCGUACCCUAGGAUGAGCCCAAGUGGGAUAGGGUAGUUGGUGAGGUAAAGGCUCACCAAGCCGGCGAUCUCUAGCUGGUCGGAGAGGAUGACCGGCCACACUGGGACGGAGAAACGGCCCAGACUCCUACGGGAGGCAGCAGUGGGGAAGAUUGCGCAAUGGGGGCAACCUGACGCAGCCAUGCCGCGGGAAUGAAGAAGGCCUUCGGGUUGUAAAGUUCUUUCGGUAGCGAGGCGGUAACUACAGAAGAAGCACCGGCUAACUCCGUGCCAGCAGCCGCGGUAAUAC